rnacentral:rRNA from 1 species
GACGAACGCUGGCGGCGUGCUUAACACAUGCAAGUCGAACGAAGUGGGAACGGGUGAGUAAUACGUGGGUAACCUCCCUCCUUUUUGGGAUAAGCCUUGGAAACGGGGUCUAAACCGAAUAGAUGGGCUCGCGGCCUAUCAGCUAGUUGGUGGGGUAAAGGCCUACCAAGGCGACGAUCCGUAACUGGUCUGAGAGGAUGAUCAGUCACACUGGGACUGAGACACGGCCCAGACUCCUACGGGAGGCAGCAGUGGGGAAUCUUCCGCAAUGGACGAAAGUCUGACGGAGCAACGCCGCGUGAGUGAUGACGGCCUUCGGGUUGUAAAGCUCUGUUAAUCGGGACGCGGUACCGGAAUAGAAAGCCACGGCUAACUACGUGCCAGCAGCCGCGGUAAUAC